UGGCGAUCGAAGCUCCUACAUAUCGUUGUUGCUUGUGUCGUCGUCGAUCUUGGUUUCAUGACCAGAUGAUAAAGACAAACCAAAUGAACAUACUGAUUAGGUUUCUUAAGCUAUGCUUAAGAAACAGAAGGGUGAGUCCAGUUUGAAAGAUGCAAAGGGUACAGCUGCAAAUGAAGCUUCUAGAAAGAGGCCUGCUGAAAGACAAUCGUAUGGUAGGGCUUCAACCAAGAAGCCAGUGACAAGCACUCAAGUUGCUUCUCAACAAGGUGAGUUCUAUAUUUAGGCAUCUUGCAUUACUGGUUAAAUUAAAUGGGUGAGUUAAAAGUACCGUGGUGAGCAAGUGCAAAAAGGACACCUUCUAUUUGUUUUAAGUUAAUCGACAAAUCUAUCAAAUAUUAGGAUUGCAUUAUUCUCAAAUUUAUAUAAAAUUUACUACUCAAGGACUUUGGGAUUGGUGUUUACAUAGUGAUUCUAAGUUUUUUAUCUACAUUGUGGGAGCUUUGUGGAUGGUUCUUUGUAGAAAAUUUCUAAACAAUUAGACAUUACCUAGUAGCGUGCCCAAUUGAACAUCUUGUAUACAUGAAGAUAUCAAGCGUCUAAUGCAUAUACUUAAUAUAUUGAGAAGAGUCUAUGUAAUACUUUGCGGUAUUGGCUCACCCCAUCACUUGAAUAACUUGUCUGAGAACUAUGAACAUGAAUGACUCCUCAAGGUUGGUGUUCCUUGGCUGUAUCUUUGAGGAAUCUAAAGAGGCCAUCUGGGUCAAUUAAAAGCAUUGUUGUGGUAAUUUUAUAACACAUUGUGAGUUGAUGUUAUUUAUUUGUUGUCACUGGACAACACUUGCAGUAGGAAUGCUACUUGACAAGGAUUUUGGAAAAGAAUAUUUUAUUUAAAUGUGAUAUCACAGGCCAAAUUACAUCUUUUUCAUGUAUACAGAUGUUGGCUAUAUGGGAGUGAGUGGUUUUUG